rnacentral:rRNA from 1 species
GGCUCGCAGUGCAGCUUGCAUGCCUGCAGGUCGACGAUUUUCCGGUUGAUCCCGCCGGACCCGACUGCUAUCGAAAUGGGACUAAGCCAUGUUAGUCGAACGUCUUUUAACUAUGUGAGGGGCGUGGCAUACGGCUCAGUAACACGUUGUCAAUCUACCCUGAAGACGUGGAUAACCCCGGGAAACUGGGAUUAAACCACGAUAAAUCAAGAUAUCUGGAACGGAUUUUGGUUCAAAGGAAGGAUGAGCAUGUUCAUCUAUUUGCUUCAGGAUGGGACUGCGACCGAUCAGGUAGUUGGUGGAGUAAUAGCCCACCAAGCCAGUGACCGGUACGGGCUUUGAGAGAAGGAGCCCGGAGAUGGACACUGAGAAAAGAGUCCAGGUCCUACGGGGCGCAGCAGGCGCGAAACCUUCGCAAUGCACGAAAGUGCGACGAGGUUAUUUCGAGUGCCAUCCGCUAAGGAUGGCUUUUGUCAGGUGUAAAUAGCCUGAAGAAUAAGGGGAGGGCAAGUCUGGUGUCAGCCGCCGCGGUAAUACCAGCUCCCCGAGUGGUCGGGACGAUUAUUGGGCCUAAAGCAUCCGUAGCUUGCUUCGCAGGUCUUCUGUUAAAUUCAACAGCUUAACUGUUGAGCCGCAGGAGAUACCACGAGGCUAGGAGGCGGAAGAGGUAGACGGUAUUCCAUGUGUAGGGGUAAAAUCCUUUGAUCCAUGGAGGACCACCAGUGGCGAAGGCGGUCUACCAGAACGCGCUCGACAGUGAGGGAUGAAAGCUGGGGGAGCGAACCGGAUUAGAUACCCGGGUAGUCCCAGCUGUAAACGAUGCUAGCUAGGUGACGGAGUGGUUUCGUACCAUUCCGGUGCCGCAGGGAAGCCGUUAAGCUAGCCGCCUGGGGAGUACGGUCGCAAGGCUGAAACUUAAAGGAAUUGGCGGGGGAGCACCACAAGGGGUGAAGCCUGCGGUUCAAAUGGAGUCAACGCC